CAGCUGAAAAGUCUGCCGCAGAGUUGAACCUGCCCAUAUCUUUCUCGGGGAGGCAGCCUGGAGUGGGGUGGGUGAGCGGGUAAGGCUGCAGCUCGAAGAAGGGCAGAUUGCAAUUUGCUUUUUUUGUUUGUUUGUUCGUUACACAGAAGGGGAGGAGGAGGAAGUGUCUUGCUUUUCUCUCCUCCCUCCCUGUGUCAGACUAAAGGGGAAGCAGAGCGGGCAUUUUCUACAGUUGCCGCCCGCCAUGGCUUUCAAGCCCCUCGUCCCCUCUUGAGCGCCGGGGAGAAGUUGGCCCAGGAGGGGAGCUGAGUGGCUCUUGCUCCUUCCUUCCUUCUUUCCUUCCUCCCCCCCCCCCACCCGUCGCUCCUUCCUUCCUGCCUGCUGCCUGCCUUCAGAAAGCCUGGUGCAGCACUCUAAAGCGUCCACCUCCAACCCCAGCAUCCUGCCUUCGAAGCCUGGAGGGGGAGGUGAACAUAGGAAGGAAGUAUGCUGUCUUGGGUGUGACCUUAGGUGCAAGAUGUUUGGCACCAAAUGAUCUAAAAUUCACAGUGGGAAGCGUGGAAUAUGUUCUGCUCUCCUAAACCACCUGCAUCUUUAGCAUAUAUUUCCAGACACAAGUCAGUGAGUUUCAUUCACAGACCGCAGAAGAUAAGAGAAGAAGCAAGCAAGAAGAUUUGAGAGUAGUCUAUAUCUGCAGUAUGCAGGAAUUGCAACUUAUUAUUCUGAGACUGGACAUUUUGGGAACUAUUUUCUACUUUUUAACUAGAAAAAGACCCGGAGUUGUUGUUGUUGUUUUGGGGGGGG